rnacentral:rRNA from 1 species
AACGAACGCUAGCGGCAUGCCUAACACAUGCAAGUCGAACGAGACCUUCGGGUCUAGUGGCGCACGGGUGCGUAACGCGUGGGAACCUGCCUUUAGGUUCGGAAUAACUCAGAGAAAUUUGAGCUAAUACCGGAUGAUGUCUUCGGACCAAAGAUUUAUCGCCUUUAGAUGGGCCCGCGUUGGAUUAGCUAGUUGGUGGGGUAAAGGCCUACCAAGGCGACGAUCCAUAGCUGGUCUGAGAGGAUGAUCAGCCACACUGGGACUGAGACACGGCCCAGACUCCUACGGGAGGCAGCAGUGGGGAAUAUUGGACAAUGGGCGAAAGCCUGAUCCAGCAAUGCCGCGUGAGUGAUGAAGGCCUUAGGGUUGUAAAGCUCUUUUACCCGAGAUGAUAAUGACAGUAUCGGGAGAAUAAGCUCCGGCU